rnacentral:sRNA from 1 species
CUUGGUCAUUUAGAGGAAGUAAAAGUCAUAACAAGGUUUCCGUAGGUGAACCUGCGGAAGGAUCAUUAAUAGUGCCCUCUGAUACAAAUCAUUGGGUUAGAUCUGCUCUCUUCGCAAGAAGAGGGUUUCCAUACACACCGUGAACUGUGGCUUCGGCCAUCACAAACUGUUAGUAAUGAAUGUAAUAUCAUAACAAAAACAAAACUUUUAACAACGGAUCUCUUGGCUCUCGCAUCGAUGAAGAACGCAGCGAAAUGCGAUAAGUAAUGUGAAUUGCAGAAUUCAGUGAAUCAUCGAAUCUUUGAACGCACCUUGCGCCCUUUGGUAUUCCGAAGGGCAUGCCUGUUUGAGUGUCAUGAAACCUCACCCCACUUGGGUUUUUGCCUGAGCGGUGGUGUAUUGGGUGUUGCCUUGCUAAAGGCUCGCCUUAAAGACAUAAGCACCUUGGAUGUAAUACGUUUCAUCCUUCUGGGUGGCUGAUAACCCCACAUAUUCAUGAUCUGGCCUCAAAUCAGGUAGGGCUACCCGCUGAACUUAAGCAUAUCAAUAAGCGGAGGAAAAGAAACUAACUAGGAUUCCCUUAGUAACGGCGAGUGAACCGGGAUGAGCUCAAAUUUAAAAUCUGGCGUCUUUCAGGCGUCCGAGUUGUAAUCUAUAGAGGCGUUUUCCGCGCCGGACCGCGUCCAAGUCUCUUGGAAUAGAGUAUCAAAGAGGGUGACAAUCCCGUACUUGACGCGACAACCGGUGCUCUGUGAUACGUUCUCAAUGAGUCGAGUUGUUUGGGAAU